rnacentral:lncRNA from 7 species
AAGGUGUGAUGUUUCCUUGGCUGUAAAAGCAGGUAGCGACAAAAACAAUGACACCAAAAGGUGCAGGUGUUGGAAGGAGCGGCAGCAGCAGCCAGCUGGGAUGUGAGAGGCAAGGAGUUAAGUAAUGCUCUGCCAGCAUGGCUUCCCGUAACUGCUGUCUGCUUUGCUUUGCCAGGAACAGCCUGUUGGAUGGUGGCAGUCCUUUAAAUAUCCAAGCAAGAUGCUGGGCUAGAGUGCAUCCCUAAAAGAACAAGGGGAAGACAGCAACGAUUUGGUCCUGCCAAGUAUCUCUCAGUGUUUGAUGUGUUUAGGACCUGUUCCCUUCCACUUUAUCUGAGAAGGCACAUUUUACCUGCAGAAUCUGUAUCAGGAUUCUCUGGGAACUUCUGCUAAGGACAGUGAGCGCACAGGUUGUCUGUGGGGUUUGCUGGGCUGUAGGAAGUGGAAGAGGGCAGGUUAUGGCAUGGGGUGGGAUGGACAGCAGUGAGGGUGAUAAAAGGUUUCCCUUGUAGCUCAGCUGAGGUCUCAGUCACCUAAUCCAGGUGAGUACUGGUGAUACCUUGUAAUAUACAGAGCUGCCUCUGUUUUACAUAAUGUAUGGUUAAGUAAAUGCUGUCUCUAACAGGGAAGGAUUUUUUUGUCUCUCAUGCAGCGCGAGGAUACCAAGAGAGCCAAGUCUGGCCCCUAGUGGUUUGUUUUAAUUGAGAUUUUUCAAAUUUGAAAGAGAAAGGACCAUCAGGGGAGUAGAUGAGUGUACAGAUGAGCCAUGACUUCCAGAAUCUGAUGCAUAGAAAGUGAUCAACAUAGAGCUGUAGUAAUUAGGUUACUCACAACAACAACAACAGCUCAGGUGAGAUGAAACAUCUGUGGGAAUCUGUAUUUUACACUGGAAGAGUUGUCAUUGUAAGGAGUGCUCUAUUUUUAUUUUUUUUUUAAUGGUGCCACAAUUGAAUCAUCGAUCACAAUUAUUGUUGACGUGUCAGGGCUUUUAUUAAAUAUACAGUAUAAUCUUCAG